rnacentral:sRNA from 1 species
UUUUUUUGUAAUUUUGAAUCAGUUUGAAAAUUUGUCGUAUUUUAUUAUAAUAGUCUUUCAGGGAUUGAGCUUGGUCACCAAUUUUGGUAUCUCUUAAGCAAAUUUCGGAUGUUUAUGUGAGUUAUUCCUUACAAAUAUGUUUUUGAGCCUUAUAUUGAUUCGACAACCUAUAAAUAUAUUAUCUUAUGCAUACUAUUAAACUAAGAUGAGAAUGUCCCUCCAAUUUUAAAUUUCAGUAAAUAUCGUGCCUCCAAUUAUAUGAAUUAAUUAUGAAUUCUUGAUCUUAGAAAUUGAUUAUUGAGAAGAAUUAUUGUGGUGUAAAGAAUAAAACAGGAAAGAGAAGUGGAACAAACAAUUGUGUUCUUCAUGCAAGUUAGUUUUUAAUACACAUCUAUCUUUCUCUUUAACUAUUUGAUCUUUAUAUUAAGUUUGUUUCUGUCAAUUUAAUGCCUCACAUAUGACAAAUGUUUAUUACAUGUGCUAGAAAUUCAGGAUUAAUCGAUUUAACGAAUUGACUUUUUAACUGUUUAUUUUGGUUUAUUUUUACCGGUUUAAACCAUUAGUCUGUUGAAAUUUUAGUUGUUUAUUGUUUUGCUGCGGCCUUCUUGAUGAUGUCACCCCAUUGCUGUUCCAUCCUCCUAUUAUUUGCAGUUUCCUUGGUGUAGCCUUCUUCUCAUUGUUGUACCAUCUUCAAGCUAGGUAACAUUGACACCUUUUCCUAGAAUUCUUUUCAGUGACAUGCCUGUUUCUUGGUAAUUUAAUAUCAAUUUGAAAAUUUGUCGUAUUUUAUUAUAAUAGGCUUUCAGGGAUUGAACUUAGUCACCAAUUAUGGUAUCUCCUAAGAUUCCUUUUAUUCACAAUGCAAAUUUCGGAUGCUUCUGGGAGGUAUUGCUUACAAAUAUAUUUUUGAGCCUUAUAUUGAUUUGACAACCUAUAAAUUUAUUCUUUUAUGGACACUAUAAAACUGAGAUGAGAAUGUCCAUUCAAUUUAUAUCUUCGUAAAUGUUGUGACUUCAAUUUUUUGAAUUAGUAAUGAAUUGUUGAUCUUGUCAUUGGAUUAUUAUGAAGAAUCAAAUGGGAAAGAGAAGUUGAACAAACAAUCGUGUUCUUUAGCCUUCUUCUCAUUGUUGUACCA